rnacentral:rRNA from 1 species
ACGGUAACAGGAAGCAGCUUGCUGCUUCGCUGACGAGUGGCGGACGGGUGAGUAAUGUCUGGGAAACUGCCUGAUGGAGGGGGAUAACUACUGGAAACGGUAGCUAAUACCGCAUAACGUCGCAAGACCAAAGAGGGGGACCUUCGGGCCUCUUGCCAUCGGAUGUGCCCAGAUGGGAUUAGCUAGUAGGUGGGGUAACGGCUCACCUAGGCGACGAUCCCUAGCUGGUCUGAGAGGAUGACCAGCCACACUGGAACUGAGACACGGUCCAGACUCCUACGGGAGGCAGCAGUGGGGAAUAUUGCACAAUGGGCGCAAGCCUGAUGCAGCCAUGCCGCGUGUAUGAAGAAGGCCUUCGGGUUGUAAAGUACUUUCAGCGGGGAGGAAGGCGAUAAGGUUAAUAACCUUGUCGAUUGACGUUACCCGCAGAAGAAGCACCGGCUAACUCCGUGCCAGCAGCCGCGGUAAUACGGGAGGGUGCAAGCGUUAAUCGGAAUUACUGGGCGUAAAGCGCACGCAGGCGGGUCUGUCACGCUCGGAUGUGAAAUCCCCGGGCUCAACCUGGGAACUGCAUUCGAAACUGGCAGGCUAGAGUCUUGUACAGGGGGGUAGACUUCCAGGUGUAGCGGUCAAAUGC